AAACAUCGCCUCUUGCAAAACCAAAGAAUAAGAGGUCCCGCCUGCCCUGUGACUAUAUGUUUAACGGCCGCGGUAUUUUGACCGUGCGAAGGUAGCGCAAUCACUUGUCUUUUAAAUGGAGACCUGUAUGAAUGGCAUAACGAGGGCUUAGCUGUCUCCUCUUUCAAGUCAAUGAAAUUGAUCUCCCCGUGCAGAAGCGGGGAUUACUACAUAAGACGAGAAGACCCUAUGGAGCUUUAGACACCAAGGCAAAUUGUGUUAAGCACCCCUACAAAGGACAAAACAAGACAAACCCUGCCCUAAUGUCUUUGGUUGGGGCGACCGUGGGGUAGCACAAACCCCCCAUGUGGAACGGGAACACAUCCUACAACUAAGAGCUCCCGCUCUAAGUAACAGAAUUUCUGACCAAACAGAUCCGGCAAAGCCGAUCAACGGACCGAGUUACCCUAGGGAU
rnacentral:rRNA from 1 species